AACGUAGGUGGCGAGCGUUAUCCGGAUUCAUUGGGCGUAAAGAGCUUGUAGGCGGCGUCAUAAGUCGAACGUGAAAUCCCUGGGCUCAACCCAGGAACUGCGUCCGAUACUGGUUGGCUUGAAUCCGGGAGAGGGAUGUGGAAUUCCAGGUGUAGCGGUGAAAUGCGUAGAUAUCUGGAGGAACACCGGUGGCGAAGGCGACAUCCUGGACCGGUAUUGACGCUGAGGCGCGAAAGCAUGGGGAGCGAACAGG
rnacentral:rRNA from 1 species